UUUACACCUUUGGAGUCUUGGGAGUGCUAUCUCUACGCAAUUUGGUUUUAUAUAUAUAUAUAUAUAUAUAUAUAUAUAUAUAUAUACACACACACACAAAUUGCGUAGAGAAAGCACUCCCAGGACUCCAAGGGUGUAAA